GAGGCCGGUAAGACGACUAGCUGGGCUGGCUACUUAGCGGGAUCAAUCAACUUGAAACCAGCUGGUAUAUCAUCCAGCAUUUCCACGCCCUAACUGUGUCAGCAGCUUGUGCCCAAGGGACCCAGAUGAGCUGGUGAGCCCCAUGCCCUUCCUGCUCUCCCACAUCCAGCAAUGCAUAACUCCGAAUCCAGCCUCCGGUGAGAUUCCUCCCUGUGCUCGGUGCUACGUGGCCCCCUGCUGGAAUGCUCUGUGAGGGAUGCAUUGCUGACAACAGAGGGCUGUGAGGAGAGCGUCCCCAGCCUGCUGGACCCGACAGGGAGGGCCUUUGCAAGGCUGUGGCAGCGUCGCCUGAAGACAAGACCAGACCCUUCCUCUGAGCUGUCUUCCAGAGUUAGUAGUACUAUGCAGCAGUGGCUGAAUUUUUUUACAGACCUUUUGAUUUUGUUCAGAAGUUUCCAAUCAGAUGAAAGCCAGGCUUACGUAGGGGGAAAGAGCUUGCUAGGCACUUGCUGCACGAACUGAGAAUAAGUACAAACGAAUCCACAAAUUUGGCAUUCUUAUAAAGAGUAUGAAGACUCAUGUGUAAAGACUGCCAGACUAGAGUCAAGUCAUCUGAAAUGCCAAGUCACUGUAUGAAAAGCUGAGUGCGCCCAACUCGAUGCUCCUAAGCAAAACUGUAGACAUUCUAAAAAAGGAACUGAAAAAAGUGAAAAUCAGAUGCUCAAAAUGAUAUGAACUGAUUGAAGGCAUCGUAAGAAGGACGGAAUCAAAGUCCAUCAAACCACACGUGCCUUUUCCACGCAGAAUGUAAGGGACAGCGAACAUUCCCAUCCACUCCCUCAUCAGUUUGUUUGGGUUAGAAAGGAGAGCUUCCCCCCCCCUACCCCGCCCCGUGUUCACACAGACUCUCUGCAAUGCUGUGUGCACCCUCCUUUCUCCCAGUCUGAGGACUCAUUCAUUACCAGUGGGAGGAGCUCUUCCUAAAACCUCCUCUUCAUCCCUCUCUUCUUGGGCAUUGCCAAUGUAACUUCCCACCUAGUCUUCCUGGCCCAGCUCGACCUCCAACAAUAAGGAGGAUCAGUCCUCCACGGGGUUUUCCUCGUGACCCUCCAUCUGGACUUGAAUUAUUCCUCCUGCCCCACAUCCUGAAGGUAGGAGGGAGUUAUUCUUGAAUUUGCCUUGACCUUCAA